CCUACGGGAGGCAGCAGUGAGGAAUAUUGGUCAAUGGACGAGAGUCUGAACCAGCCAAGUAGCGUGAAGGAUGACUGCCCUAUGGGUUGUAAACGUCUUUUAUAUGGGAAUAAAAUGUUCCACGUGUAGGAUUUUGUAUGUACCUUAUGAAUAAGGAUCGGCUAACUCCGUGCCAGCAGCCGCGGUAAUACGGAGGAUCCGAGCGUUCUCCGGAUUUAUUGGGUUUAAAGGGAGCGUAGGUGGGUUUUUAAGUUAGUUGUGAAAGUUUCGGGCUCCAACGUAAAAUUGCAAUUGAUACUGGCAGUCUUGAGUACAGUAGAGGUAGGCGGAAUUAGUGGUGUAGCGGUGAAAUGCUUAGAUAUAACGAAGAACUCCGAUUGCGAAGGCAGCUUACUGGACUGCAACUGACACUGAGGCACGAAAGUGUGGGUAGCAAACAGGAUUAGAUACCCGAGUAGUC
rnacentral:rRNA from 1 species